UUGUGACAGCUUUUAUGAGACAUUUUCCUGAGAGUGUUGAAUUGAUGCUGCUCUGUUGCACUUCAUUAUGCACCAACGUGUUUGUUGUUAGGAUGACAACAUUUUUAAGCUUUUUGUUGAGGCUUGGUGGUCUAGCAGUGUCAAAAUGAUUAAGAUGGCCAAUCAAAUCAAAGAAGAGGGUGUUUACUGUCCACAGAGUCUGAACAUGAAUUACAGCUCUACACAUUGAAAAAAAAUAUAUAUUGUGAGGUAUCAUGUAAUAGCUAAACAUAUAAUAUUUGAGCGGUUUAACAAUAAAAAUGUAGUUAUUCAGACUGCUUUUAUGUCAAAUCUCACUGUUUUGAAUUGAAAGUAGAGCGUAUCAUUUACAUGAUUCAUGUAACUCUUAAAUGAAUGUAAUUGAAACGUAUCCUUUUUAUGCCCAUUAGGUGUAAGACAAAGAAGGAAUGUGUGCAAAAUAUAUUUUGUAGGAUUAAAAUGUUAUUUGCAAAUAAUUAAGAUAGAUUACAAUCAAUUCUAGUUAUUUUGCUGUUUGUCUAUUUCUUUAUUCCUAUAAAUCCCUUAAACUCCUUUCAAUUGGAUUAUUUCUUUCAAUAAAAUUUGGUUUGGCCCCCCUAAUGUUUGACAUGGUUAAGGCCUUGGAUCACUGUACCAUAGUAUAUAUCAAGGACUUUUUGGCUAGGGGAAUUUAAACUGCUUCUCAGUUCUGCUGGCUUCACCCCAACAGAAGCGAUAAGUAGAUUUGGGCUCUUACGGGGGUCAGGCCGUCCACCUGCAAGUUAUACAAGUCAGGCAUGUCAUACAUGACAAAUGAGCAUAAAAGAAACCCCUCUCCCUCUCAGAACACUGCAAUCUAAUUUACUAAUUGUAUGUGUGUGUGUUUGUGUGUGCGCUGAUGUCUGUGUUCAGUUUCAGCUCUCCUUUUCAGACCCGCUGCUCUAUGAGGAGGAACAUGGCGCUAUGGAGAAGAGUCAGAUUCUUCUGGAAAUCUCCCAGAAGCUUCCAGUACACACCUGUACAGCAGUCAGAGGUCAGGAAACCCUUCGGCACAUAACAUAUAAAAAACAAUAAUGUGAAGUAUAAUUUAAAUAACAUCUCAAAACAUAACUGCAUCCAGUCCAAAUGUAACUUGAUUCACACUAUACCUGUACACAUUAAAAUAGCUUUCAGUGAAAAGCAUUUGCACCAUGUUAGAUGAUUUCCCUGCAUCAACACUUCAUAAUACAGGUGAAUCUGUGGUGCCACAGUACUGAAUAUUUAGCACUAUGGCAAGAUAAAUUAUAUUUUAGAUCUAUAAUUUUAAGUAAAUAAAAAACAUGCAGUCGUUUAAGUGUAGCCCAUUUCCCAAAAUAAGUGACUUUUAUUAGUUUGUUUUAAUGAAUAUUUCAAAGAGUCAAUAUCAAACAAUAUCUUCAUUUUCAGCAUUAGGAAAUAAAUAAUUUUCCCAUAUGUACUCAGAAAGGAGACUGUAUCUGAAAUAAACCCAAAUUUAUUGGAAUCAGAUUGAAUCGAAAAUUUGUAUCGAUACCCAGCCCUGAAGAUAAACAAAAUUGAUUAUUUGCCGAAAAUGCACUCUUGGCUUCAAAAACAUUAUGUGUGGUCCUCUGAAUAAUCUAAGUUAGUCUUGUUUAGUACAUCUUAAGGAAAAGAAAACAAUGACGUAAUUUCCUUUUAUACUAUUUUAUUUAAUACAACUUGACAAAUGAUCAAUUCAGUAACACCAGUGUCGAUAAUAAACAAAACCAAAAAACGAGGAGCAAAAAAUGUAAUAUGUCACACUACAUUGCUGGAAGGAACACAGAGCCAAGGAUAAUCGCUAAAGUCUUUAUUAACCCAACACAAGGGUAAAUCCAACAAGGAUAACAGGAGAAAGACCGACUUAUGAAACUGAUAUACCCAACAACACUGAACUGAAAGGACACGGCUUAUAAAGGCAGGAUGAUUGGUAAAAGAGCGUCCAAGAGCGUGACAGAAUAAGAAAUUAAUUGAGUAAUAAAUGUAUUUUAUAUAUAGAUCAGCAUGUUCUAACAGUAAUAGUAAGGAUAACAAUUGUAGUUUUUUUUUUCUUUUUUGAGUAAACUAAUAAUUUUAGUAUGCAUAACUAUUUUAUAAAUGUCAUAAGUGUUUUACCUGAAUGGCCAGUAGACUCCUUUAAUUUAGUUUGGGAUCUAAACACUAAAACACCUACUGUAUUUGUACUGAUUCUCUUAUUAAGUUAAGUUAAGUGAUCCAUUUAUAAUUUUUAAAGCCAUUUUAUAAAUCAAGACAUGAUUUAUAGUGACUUUAAAUCACUUAUAUGCUGAGACAUAAGUUUCUGUUAACUAAUCUUAAACUAUAUUUUAAUAUAUGAGAUUCUAUGAUGAACGAAGACAUGUAACUGUCUGUUAUUAAAGUGGGAUUCCAUUUGCCUAAAUGUUGGAGAAAAUGCUAUUUAUUUAUUUGGUUGUUUGUGUGUGUGUUCAUCUCAGCUAUCAGGUUCUGUCAUCACUGCCAAUUGAUAAAACCAGAUCGCUGCCAUCACUGUUCUGUCUGCCAAAAGUAGGAAUCUCUCUCUCUCUCUCUCUCUCGUCUUUCUCUCCCCUCCCUCUCUCCAUUUCUUUGUGUGUAUCAGUGCAUCUCCAACUCAUCACACUCUUCCCUUAAUGAAAGGGAGACAUAGAAAUGCGAUCUGUGGGUGAGUGUGUGUGUAAUAAUUACAGGAUGUUGUUGAAGCGCUUGGUCACAUUUAUUUGAGUGGACACAGUGAAUCUUCUCAAAUGAGUUUUGCUCCGUGUCAGUAUCACAUUCCCAUCCUUCAUUUAAAGUCCUGGUCUGAGUGUGUGAGAGAGUGAGUGAGAGAGAAAAAGAAUGACUUUGUGUUUGUGGAGAUUUUGAAUGUAUGUGUCGGAUCACACGUUUUUUUUAUUUUAUUAUUUUAUAAGAAUAGUUCCUGUGGCUUGUGCACUUCCCUCCUGCGUUUGUAAGUAAAAAGCUGUGUGUUUGUAAGAAACAACUGCAUCAUAAAAUUGUCAUAAAUUGUUUGGCCAAAAUACAAAUUCCCUUUACAUAAUAACACUUCCUCUAGUGAAAAAGUCCAUCCCGUUCCAUCCCCUCUCACUUCAAAACCCACCAAACAUAUUUGUUAAGAACUGUUAUAGACUGUUCAUGAUUGUAAACAGUGCUUGUUUUGUGCAUAUUUCUCUCCUGAUUCAGGCAAAAGGACUGGUAAAAGCAAUGUUAUACGAAGAGGACUAAAGAAUGGUUUAAUUUAAAAAACGUUUUAAUGAUGGCUUUGUUUAUUAUGAACAUGUGGCUUUUUGUUUGUGGAUGAGUCAUGUGGAUUGCUUGUGGAUUAUUGUUUUUAUCAACUUUCUUCUUGACGGCACCCAUUCACUGUGUGCAAGUGUAAUGCUAAAUUUCUAUCUGUUCCGAUAGAACUACACCUUAGAUGAUCUAAGACUGAGUAAAUGGUGGGUAUUAUAUUCCUUUAAACAUCUUUAAUUUGCCACUGAUGUUGCUUAGGCUGUGCAGGCUAUUGGUAAUUCAGGCAUUCAUUUACCUUAAAAUCAGGAAGUAAAAUGGCUAUUUACAUUUACUUAAAAAAUGUUUAACAUGUUAAAUCUUGUUUAAAUGGCAAAAUGACUUUUUCAUUUACAAAAAAACAAACAAAAAAAAAAAAACGUAAAAAAAAAAAAACUGUGUGCUGUUGUGAGCAUGUUUAGGCUGAAUAACUGUAUUGGAUUCUCCAACUAUAAGUUCUUCAUGCUCUUCCUGCUCUACUCACUUCUAUAUUGCCUCCUCAUCAUUACAACGGUUACACCAACCUUCAUUCAACUUUGGCUGGUCAGUGCAUGUAUUUUUUUGCAAGAUUCAGAUGCACUUUUAGUGGUAGAGACUAUUGUCAACCUUUAGAUGGCAUGUCCACAGUCCACCUACGGUUGCUUGGUAUCAAUUAUUUGAAAUAUAUUACACAUACUAAUAAAAUAUAGCUUUGAUGCAAAGUCACUUUGGAUAAUUUGUGAAUAAAUGUGAUAAAAAGGUUUUAUAUUUUGUAGUAUAAUGAAUUCUUACUUAUGCAAUAAUCCUCAUUAUAUUACAUUCUUAAAUCAAGACUUCUUAUUUCUGUUUAUGGAAUCUUACUAUAAUAUUCCUGGAUUACACAUUGCUCUCUCUCUCUCUCUCUCUCUCUCUCUGUCUCAGGGCAAACUGUUUGACAGUUGUGUUAAACUGCAUGUUUUGUUCCUGACACUGGUGUCAGCCAUGUUUGCUGUCACCCUCUGUUUUUUGCUUUUCUUCCACAUCUGGCUUCUCACCAGCAACAAAACUACUAUCGAGUGGUUGUCAGUCCCCUUUUUUGCGGAUGGACCUGGAAGUGAGGCAUUUUAUGUGGGUGUCUGGGCAAACUUCUUACAGGUGUUUGGAAAGGAAAAAAAGUAUCUGGCCAUUUCCAGUAUCCAGCAGUCAAGGGGAUGGACAUUCUUUCCCCUUGAGAUGGCAGAUGUCCUCUCACAGUCAUUCAGUGAUAAAUGGAAAUGUACAUUAUGCCAUGGAAGGAAGUGUGGUCUCACCUGAGGGGGUCUCUGUUACCAUAGCAGUGGGUGACUAGCAGUCAUGAAAUAAGGUUGACAGAAUGUGUCAUGUAACCUCAUCACAGUGAAUCUCUCAACAGAGGCGAUUUUAGAAAGAUCUCAAUCACAGGUUAAGCUUACAGGAGUGGCGGAGGCCCUCAGGGAGACGAGGAUGAGGGUAAAAACAACUGCCUGCAUGCUCAGUUUUCACCUGAAACACUUCCUGCAGGAGUUUUCAAGUCUCUGAAACCGCUCUUUUACUGAUCAAGGUGUCAGAGAGCCUUAUCAGGCGUCCCUGUGAAGUGAUAAUGUUUUCAAUUCAUUAUUUUGUGGUGAAAUGCAGUCUGGUGUUUUGUAUGAACUUUGUUUAAAUUUUAUUAAAUAACAACAACAGUU